GGGAAUAUGGCUGAGCCACCGGGCCAGCACCGACUGCGAGAAGUUUUUGGAGAAGCCCGUGAUAGCGCUUGGUGUGUUUCUCAUGGUGGUGUCACUGGCGGGGCUGAUCGGGGCCUGUUGCAGAGUGUCGUGGCUUCUCUGGGUCUACCUACUGGUGAUGUUUCUCUUGAUCGUGCUUCUCUUCUGCUUCACCAUCUUCGCCUUUGUGGUCACUAACAAGGGUGCCGGAGAGGUUUUGUCUGGGAAGGGGUAUAAGGAGUAUAGGCUCGGGGAUUACUCCAAUUGGCUGCAAAAGAGAGUUAACAACACCAAGAACUGGAACAGGAUCAAGAGCUGUUUGC
rnacentral:lncRNA from 1 species